UACGUAGGGAGCAAGCGCUGUCCGGAAUUACUGGGCGUAAAGGGCGCGUAGGUGGGCGCUUAAGUCAGGUGUGAAAACUCCGGGCUCAACCUGGAGACUGCACUUGAAACUGGGUGUCUUGAGGGCAGGAGAGGAAAGUGGAAUUCCUAGUGUAGCGGUGAAAUGCGUAGAUAUUAGGAGGAACACCAGUGGCGAAGGCGACUUUCUGGACUGUACCUGACGCUGAGGCGCGAAAGCGUGGGUAGCGAACGGG
rnacentral:rRNA from 1 species